AUGUUCUCUGUAGCUCUGCUGCUGCUGCUGGCUGCUGGAUCCUGUGUUGAUGGUCAGACUCUGACACAAUCUGAACCAGUGGUUAAAAAGCCUGCAGAGUCCCACAGAUUGACCUGCACAGCCUCUGGAUUCACAUUCAGCAGCUAUUCCAUGAACUGGAUCAGACAGGCUCCUGGAAAAGGACUGGAGUGGAUCGCCUAUAUCAGCCCUGGUGGCACCACCCGCUACUCCCAGUCAGUCCAAGGCCAGUUCACCAUCUCCAGAGACAACAGCAGAGAGCAGCUGUAUCUCCAGAUGAACAGUCUGAAGACUGAAGACUCUGCUGUUUAUUAUUGUGCUCAAGAGCCACAGUCUCGAGACCGGUCUCGAGACCACUUUUUGAGGGUCUCGGUCUCGUCUCGGAAUCGGCGGCAUUUUCACUCGGUCUUGAGUGAAAAUAUCUUGAGUGAGGUCGGAAUUUCUGAUCAAUACCGGUCGAGACCAGGCUCUCACUAUUUUAAUAAGAGAAAAAAGAAAAGUGCAGCUGCUGCCUUCCCGGUGUCACACAGCCUUUGCAACACUUUGACUGACACGCCCUCUGAACACGCAGAGUGGAUAAAGACGGCUGCAGAAGCGGUGGUUAUGUUUGGCGUCCCCGGGAAAUCGCCAUGA